UUUGGCAUUGCAGCAUGUUACUCAUGCCUUUAGGUACCUGGAUUAAUCCUUGAAUGCAUUUCUCCCCUUCCAGUUGUAAAUUGGGGGAGUCCAUCACACAGUUCAGCAAAGCCAUCUUAGAUAAAUUGAAAUACUUCUUCAAAGAUCUCAAGAACAAGCUCCGGGAAAAAGGCAGAAACACAGAGCCAGUAAACGUUAUUCAGAGGCAUCAAAUGGAAGCUGUCCAGGCUUUGCUGUGUAACUUUCUCCUGGAUCAGAUGGAGUACAUCAAUAAAAGGCAGCGCGGUAUAUCCCGUGUCCUGACACCAGAAAUACAGGCUAGCAUGAAACAGGCAUAUGCAGCUUGUAGCCAACUGAAUGGUCCUGGCUGUUUCCAGAGAAUGAAAGAUCUUAUGCAACGGCAUGUCCGCAAUCAGAAGGAGACCAUGUUUAACUGUGUCACUGAUAAAUUACGGCACCAGCUUGACCUGCUCCAGGUGUACAUCGGUGGUAGUUUUGAGUGCUUAGUUCAGGAACUGACUAAAUCCUUGAAACUGCAGUUUGAACCAAUGCUGAAGCCUGUCCAGAAAAAUGAUGGAAUUAUUCCAGAUUUUGUGAACAUCUGUGCCAAAGUCAGCAAGAUUUGUAAAAUAUCUCGUGUAGAUUAUGUUCUUCCCAACCUCAACCAGACAGAAAGCUGUUCUGUACCUGCUUUUCCUGGGAAAGAGCUGCCAUUAAAGAGGGAGCUGCAGGAAGGCUUGGAUCCCCCAGACUUCUUGGGAAAGUGCAAUAUCAUCCGCAUUGGGACCAUGUCACUCUCUCACAUUAAUCCCAUUCAGAUAUCUGUGCAAGAAGUCACGGUCACUAUGGCAGAUAAUACCACCAUGACUCUUCCGUUCAGCAGUGUGUAUCUCUGUGAAUGUUGCUUCCAUCUGUAUUAUUUGAUCCUUCAUCUCUCUCCUGAGUUUGCCAAGAACAUUUACUCCAGAUUGGGAGCCCAGGCAUCCAACCCAAGUAACCAGGAGGCUCUCAUUAUCCUGGACAAGCCCCAGGACCCAUCAUCUUUCCAUAGCUUGAUAGAAUUCAUUUCGGCAAGACAUGGGGGCAUACCUUGGUUCCGGGAACUAAAUCUGCAGCAGGGAAGAGAGAAACUGGAAUCUCUGGGGGUGUACUACACUGCCAAAGACUUAAAAUGUGAUGACGAAGAAAAGACUCUUGAGGUCCCACCUUCCAGUUUGCCAUCAGAUAAACCAACCUUUUUCACCAUUGCACAGCAGCCCCUGCUCCCUGGCAUGAAGUUAUAUCCAUAUGGCAGGAAGAGAGGAGGAGGAGAGAUCCAGUCACAGUUGGAGAAGAAGCACAAAGGCAAAACCAUAGAACAAAGCCCAGAAGUGGAGCCUGCUGGGUUCCAUCUACCAAGCCAACACAUUCCUGGCAGACUGGUCUCAGCCAGAAAGUCCAUGACGAGUCACCCACAGAAUGCAAGCGGAGAGUGUGCACCUGCAUUUUACGACUGGAAUACAACCUCCAUUCCAGGAACAUCUGUGUCUGAGGCACCACCCAGCUCUCAUGUAACUGUGAAGGAUGAAAGAGAUCUGUUUACCAUUCCAAGUGCAGCAGGUAUCCUCCAUGUCCGAGCCAAGGAGGGCGUUUGGGGAAAGUGGCGAAGUCCAAAUGCUCAGGAAGACAACAGUUCUGAUGUGGAUAAAAUAGAGACCAAUGGAAACACGCACACAGCAAAAGAUUCAUGGAGCUCACACUAGUUUGUUAUAAUACAAAGACUGUUACCUGACUUAUAUACACGCAAUAUAUGAAAUAUAUUGUCACUAGCAAAAGGCUGUAGAAAUAGACUCCUUCCAGCUGAAAAACUUCUGAAACUGAUUGUCAAGUAAUCUUACACUGAUAAUUUAAUACGAUUUACUGAGUGAAUUCUGAGCACUGUCUCCGAAGUAGCCUGCUGCAUCAGUGCCUCUUUUCAGAAUGGAAGAGUUUGCAUACAACAGAAGAGCUGAAGUAUCCAUUUGGACAAUAGUUGGCUGUUUCUUGAAAGAGAAAUUAAGUGAGUCAGCUGCAUGCAGAGACGCUAUACAUGGGACUCCCCCUUUGCUAAGACACUUGACCCUAGAAUGUAGCCAACAACUCUUUGCCAGUGAAAGCCAUAUUGGUAAAGAAAAACUUAAGAGUAACAGGCAAAGACUCAUCCAAAAUGCAUAGAGUCAAAUGCUAAGACACUGUAGCCUACAUAUUAAUCCAAAGCAAUAGAUCGUCGACCCACUGAUUUUUGGAGAGGAAAACAGAUUGUGAUUUGAUCAACAGAAAACUUCUGCAAUAAUAAAGAACAACUUCUUGUUGUUCCCUGUAAAUUG
ensembl:lncRNA